rnacentral:rRNA from 1 species
GUUGGGCUGUUCGCCCAUUAAAGCGGUACGCGAGCUGGGUUCAGAACGUCGUGAGACAGUUCGGUCCCUAUCCACCAUGGGCGCUGGAGGCUUGAGAGGAGUCGUCCCUAGUACGAGAGGACCGGGAUGAACAGACCGCUGGUGUAUCAGUCGUCGUGCCAACGGCGCUGCUGAUUAGCUACGUCUGGACGGGAUAACCGCUGAAAGCAUCUAAGCGGGAAGCCCACCUCGAGAUGAGGCCUCCCAUCCCCUAGAGGGAGUAAGGGUCGUGGUAGACCACCACGUUGAUAGGCGGGACGUGGAAGCGCAGCAAUGCGUGAAGCGGACCCGUACUAAUGACCCGAGGUCUUGAUUUG